rnacentral:rRNA from 1 species
UACAGAGGGGGCAAGCGUUGUUCGGAAUUACUGGGCGUAAAGGGCGCGUAGGCGGCCUUCUAAGUCGAACGUGAAAUCCCCCGGCUCAACCGGGGAACUGCAUCGGAUACUGGUGGACUCGAGAGUUGUAGGGGUGGACGGAACUCCAGGUGGAGCGGUGAAAUGCGUAGAUAUCUGGAGGAACACCGGAGGCGAAAGCGGUCCACUGGGCAACUUCUGACGCUGAGGUGCGAAAGCUAGGGUAGCAAACGGG